AGAGCUCCUUAAGCCAGGAGUAGAUGGCAUUCAUUGUCCAAUCUCUAGCACCUGGGACAUUGCCCGGCGGGUAGGAUGUGCUCAGUCAAGGUCAACUGGCUGCAGUGAAUUCCCCUGAACUCCUCAUAGGGUCAGACAAUGGGAGAAACAAGGUCUAGACAUUUCUUCAAGUCCUGGAAGAAAGACCGUAAACAUUUCUUAGAGAAGAACAUUUUGCUGGGUGUCCCAGGUCAGCCAUCAGGGAGCCACAGAGCAGAGGAAUCCAGGAGUCUCCUCUCCUCCCUCAGUCCCCUGAGUUAGGCUUCAAGAUGAUACACCGUCAGACCAGAUCCCGGCCAGCUUCUUUGAGGGCAUCAGAACUGGCAGUUGCCUCCCUGCCACGGAGCCCGGAGCCCUUCAAUUGCUUCACACUCCAGUCUUCAGUUAAGAAAAACCCCGAAGGUAAAAGGUCUGACUAGAGGCUUCCUUCUCCGUCCCCACAGAAUCUCCUGGGAAACUUGCCCCCUUCCCACCUGCCCAGGGUCUCUCACUCUGCUGGAUCCUCUCCCGUUCCGGCUCCUUUUCCCUCUUGGCCUGCUCAUGCUCCCUGCUGUCCUUCCUGGUCUUCUCUUUCUUGCCCACUGCAGUGUCCACCCAGAGUCUGUGUCGGACAGCAUCUUGGAGGCAAGAGUGAGCCACUUUCCUCCUGUGUUCUCUUCCCUCUGGCCUCAGCAAAUACCCGUUUCUUCUGCCACCCCCACCAGCAGAGUCACUGUCUUAUUGUGCUCCUGGCUCAGGAUCCUGAAACUAAGGUCAUCCAGGUGAGAAGAGGGCACAGGAUUGUACCAUUGAGAUUUCACCUCCCUGCCUCCUAAGCACCAAUUGCCACUGGCCUGCUCUGAUCCGAGGGAGAGGUUGAUUUCUAUCCACUGGGAGGAUUCCUGGUGGUCACUAAGCACGUGCCUGCUGUUAAUUAGGAAAGACUGCCCUGGACAGAGACUGCAGGGCACACCUACCCCUGAAAGGCAGCAUGGGGCACCAGCAUGCAAGUCACUAUUGAGAACUUCCCUGCCAACUUCAAAACUCCCCAAAGGAAACUGCAAGGAGAGACAGUGGCAAUGACAGCGUCCACCAAGCACCUGUACUACAGGACUCUUACUUGAACUUCACCAUGAUCAAAGAGAACUAGCAAGACUGACAUUCUCAUUUCAUAGAUGAGGACACCUGGAAAAAAAUCCCGCCUAUCCAAGGCAGGGUACCACUGGAAGUCAUGGCCAAACCUUCUGCACUCCAGAGCCACGUUACUUCCUCUCACCAGUUUCCCUCUUUAUUCUGCCGCUGUUAAAAUGGUGAUGGAUGAUGGUUUGACAAUCUCACUGCUUCAUUAUCAGUUCACACUUUUGCAAGGGCAAACAGAGGUUCAGGAGAGCAGAGAUAAUUCACAGCGUCGACACCUGCCAGAGGACCUGCUUCAGGAACUGGAAGAACUACCUGCCAAACUGUACCUGUCAGCCAGGGCCACAAUGCCAGAAAACAUUUUCUGAGAUGACCUAGACAUUAAUUCCUCGGUUGUUGCCUGAGGUGAGAUUUCCUCAAAGUACCUUGCAAGCCACCUCUCUGCCUGCCAUUAUUUUCUUCCAGGGGUGACAGGGGCAUCUCCCCCACAGCUGUGUCAAUGUUCCUCAGCUUGGAGGCCCACGCAGGUUCCACCCUUCAGAGUGGCCCACCCUGCUGUUGGCACAGCCCUUCUUAUCUCCAAGGCCCAGCUUGGUGCGCCUCCAGGUCCCCCGAGCAUCUUCCUGGAGUUUGUAGCAAGCCACAGGCUCGGUGCUCUGGAGGAACCAGCUGCAGGGCAGUGUGAACUCGUGGGAUGGGGAGGUGCCAGGGAGGUCACCCCUAGAGGCACACAGGUGAAGCCAGGUCAGCUCGACCCAGACUACCGCCUCUGAGUUUUCUAGAAUGGUAACCAGCUGCGAGGGAUAAGUGUGGAAGCCAGGAGAGCCUGUGUUGCCUUGGUGAUGGGGCGGGGCUUUCAGGCUGGUCGAGGGUGUGCGAGCCUCAGGCCUUCAGCACUGGUUCUGUGCCCUCUCCACCAGAGCCCCCAGAGCUUACUGUUGCUUUUGGCCUCCAAGGUGGCAGCAAUGCCAAGUAUAUUUGUGCUUUACUA